rnacentral:rRNA from 1 species
UAGAGUUUGAUCAUGGCUCAGGACGAACGCUGGCGGCGCGCUUAAUACAUGCAAGUCGAGCGAGAACCAGGGCUUCGGCCCUGGGGACAGCGGCGAACGGGUGAGUAACACGUGGGUAAUCAGCCCUCGACACCGGGAUAGCCCGGGGAAACCCGGAUUAAUACCGGAUGCCCCGUCUGGCCUUAGGGCCGGCCGGAAAAGGUAGCUUCGGCCUCCGGUCGAGGACGAGCCCGCGGCGGAUUAGCUUGUUGGUGGGGUAAAGGCCCACCAAGGCGACGAUCCGUAGCUGGUCUGAGAGGACGAUCAGCCACACUGGGACUGAGACACGGCCCAGACUCCUACGGGAGGCAGCAGUAGGGAAUCUUGCGCAAUGGGCGAAAGCCUGACGCAGCGACGCCGCGUGAGGGAAGAAGGCCUUCGGGUUGUAAACCUCUUUCAGGAGGGACGAAGCCACUCGGGUUAAUAGCCCAGAGGGUGACGGUACCUCCAGAAGAAGCCCCGGCUAACUACGUGCCAGCAGCCGCGGUAAU